rnacentral:misc_RNA from 1 species
CACUCUCUCUCUCUCUCUCUCUCUCUCUCUCUCUCUCUCUCUCUCUCAGUCUGCCGGUGGCUUCAGUAAGGUCUGGGUGUGCUAGUUCUGCUUGCCUACUUUUAUAACUACUUCUUCGACAUAAAGAAUGGGGGACGCCACCACUGCCAGGGUGCUGUCAGGGAAGGAGGUGGCCGGGGAUGUGCGCAAUGGCCUCAAGGAGAAGGUGGCCCAGCUCAAGGCCGAGAAUCCUGACUUUGUUCCUGGAUUGGCCAUUGUUCAGGUCGGGGGGCGGGAGGACAGUAACGUCUAUAUCCGCAUGAAGGUGAAGGCCGCGGAGGAGAUCGGCAUCAAGGCACAGCACAUCAAGUUCCCCCGCACCAUCACGCAGACCCAGCUGGUGCAGGAGAUCAAGAAGCUGAACGCGGACCCCACAGUUCACGGCAUGAUCGUACAGAUGCCCCUGGACUGUGACGAGAAGAUUGACUCCGACCUGGUGCUGGAUACUGUCUCUGCGGAUAAGGAUGUCGAUGGACUGACCACCACCAGCGCCGGCCGACUCUCCCAUGGUAUGCUUGAUGUGGGUUUCCUCCCAUGCACUCCCAAUGGCUGCAUGGAGCUCAUUAGAAGGUCCGGCGCCAAGAUAAGUGGAGCCAAGGCAGUGGUGAUUGGGCGGAGCAAGAUUGUGGGUACACCAAUGGCGGAGCUGCUCAAGUGGAACCAUGCCACCGUCACCACCUGCCACUCCCGCACUGCUGACCUGGCCGAGACUGCGAGGAGUGCGGACAUCCUGGUGGUGGGGAUUGGCAGCCCUGAAUUUGUGAAGGGUUCCUGGGUGAAGCCUGGUGCCGUGGUGAUCGACUGUGGCAUCAACUCCAUUCCUGACCCCAGCAAGAAGUCCGGGUCGCGUCUGGUGGGUGACGUGGAGUAUGGGGCGGCCUCCAAACUGGCGUCGGUCAUCACCCCAGUGCCGGGGGGGGUGGGGCCCAUGACGGUGGCCAUGCUGAUGAACAACACUGUCAUCGCGGCACAGAAGGCGGUGGCACAGCGGUCCGUGGCACUCUGGCCCCUCUCGUACCUCCCGCUCCACCCCUUAGAGAAAGUGCCAAGUGACAUAGAGAUAGCCCAGGCACAGACCCCCAAGGACAUCGCGGAGCUGGCAGCGGAGAUUGGCAUUCUGGACUCGGAGAUUGACCUCUAUGGCAACAAGAAGGCCAAGGUCAAACUCUCCAUUCUGGAUCGCCUCAGGUCACGGAGGAACGGGAAAUAUGUGGUCGUGGCCGGCAUCACCCCUACACCACUGGGGGAGGGCAAGAGCACCACCACCAUUGGCUUGGCUCAGGCUAUUGGUGCCCACCUCAAGAAGAAUGUGUUUGCCUGCGUCCGUCAGCCUUCUCAGGGCCCCACCUUUGGAAUUAAGGGAGGGGCAGCGGGCGGGGGGUACUCCCAGGUGAUCCCCAUGGAGGAGUUUAACCUUCACCUGACGGGCGACAUCCACGCCAUCACGGCCGCCAACAACCUCCUGGCGGCGCAGAUUGACGCACGGAUGUUCCACGAGGCCACACAGACCGACGCGGCACUCUACAACAGACUGGUGCCAAAACUAAAGGGCCAGCGCCAGUUCUCCCCCAUCCAGCUGACCCGACUCAAGAAACUGGGCAUUGUGGAGACUGACCCGGACAAGCUGACCCCAGAGGAGGUCACCAAGUUUGUGCGCCUCAACAUUGACCCGGACACCAUCACCUGGCAGCGGGUGAUCGACACCAAUGACCGAUUCCUGCGCAAGAUAACAGUGGGCCAGAGUGCCACAGAGAAGGGCCGGACCAGGGAGUGCCAGUUUGACAUUACUGUGGCCAGCGAGAUCAUGGCCAUCCUCGCCCUCACCACCUCCCUGGCCGACAUGAGGGACAGACUGGGCCGCAUCGUGGUGGCCGCCGACACUGCUGGCAACCCCGUCACUGCUGAUGAUCUGGGAGCCAGCGGGGCCCUAGCGGUGUUGAUGAAGGACGCGAUCAACCCCAACCUGAUGCAAACCCUGGAGGGAACCCCGGUAUUUGUUCACGCUGGGCCCUUCGCUAACAUUGCCCACGGGAACUCCUCCAUCCUGGCAGAUCGCAUUGCUCUUAAGCUGGUUGGUGAGGAGGGCAUGGUGGUGACAGAGGCUGGCUUUGGUGCCGACAUAGGCCUAGAAAAAUUUUUCAACAUUAAGUGCCGUUACUCUGGGCUGGUGCCAAGUGCCGUGACCCUCGUGGCCACUGUCAGGGCACUCAAGAUGCACGGCGGGGGGCCAACUGUCACCCCCGGAGUGCCACUUCCCCCGGAGUACACCAAUGAGAACCUUGAGCUGGUUGAGGUCGGAUUUAGCAACCUGAAGAAGCAAAUAGAAAACGGGCUUGCCUUUGGAGUUCCUGUUGUUGUUGCCAUUAAUGCAUUUGCCACAGACACCCCUGCUGAGUUGGCCCUGGUGCAGCGGUUGGCGAGGGGGGCGGGGGCCUUCGACGCGAUAAUCUGCAACCACUGGGCCAAGGGGGGGGCGGGAGCGGUGGAGCUGGCCCAGGCUGUCUUCAGGGCCGCCUCACAGCCCUCUAACUUCAGCUUCCUGUACGAGCUGGACAAGCCGGUGGAGGAGAAGAUUCGCACCAUUGCCCAGCGGAUCUAUGGGGCGGAUGACGUGGACAUCCACCCCAAGGCACAGGAGCAGAUCGACCGAUACAAGAAGCAGGGCUUCAACAACCUUCCGAUCUGCAUGGCCAAGACUCACCUCUCUCUGACGGCCGACCCCAAGAGGAAGGGCGCCCCAACUGGCUUCAAAAUACCCAUACAGGACGUCAGGGCUUCCAUCGGGGCAGGCUUCCUCUACCCCCUGGCUGAUACAGUAAGUGGAGAGGUGGAGAAGUGGAGAAGUGGAGGAGUAGAGAGGUGAUGGAAAGUGGAGUGGAGAAAUGGAGAGGUGGAAAAGUGGAUGAGUGGAGUCAGAAGUGGAUUUGUAAGUGGAGUUUGGUUUUUGUGCAUAGUGUAGUGUAGUGGAUUGCAUUGUGUGUAUUUUAUAGAGAAUAUUUUGUGCUAUGCUUGUAGUGGAGUGGUGGAAGAUGAAGUGGAGUGGAGUUUGUGCAUAGUGGAGUGUGGUGGAGUGCAUUUUGUUUGAUUUUGUCGAGAGUGGCUUGUCUUAUUUAUUUCUCAUCUUUUUCAUUUUCUUUCACUUUCUCAUCCAUCUUUUCAUUCUUCCCUUUCUCUCUCUCUCUCUCUCUUACUUUUCUCUCAAAAUUUACAGAAUGGCAUGUAUUUUAUUAGUUUCUCCAUUUUUAUUCUCUUUCUCAUUCUCUUCCUAUUUUUAUUUCCUCUCAUUCAUCAUCUCUCUUCCUUUUCCUGCUACAAAGAAUAGAAAAAUAGAAAAUGGGAACCAGGCAAGAUAGAUAAUGAUAGAAAGAAAGAAAAAUAGAAAAAAAUAAUAGAAGAAUAGCUAAUAGUGGUAGGGAAAGAUUGUGGUGGUAGUGUGGUGGUGGAGACAGGCUGAUGCAUUGUGGUAGCAAUAAGUAGUAGUAGUAGUAGUAGUGGUAGUGUGUGGAAGAAUGUGGUGGUGUGGUAGGGGAAGGUUAGGAAGUGUGGUAGAGAAAGGUGUAGUGGUAUAAGGUUAAAUACUGUGGUAGGUGGUGUAGUGUGGUUGGUAGUAGUGGUAUUAAGAAGUGUGUAUUGGUGACAGGCUGGUGUAGCAGUGUAGUGGUGUAGAUGGUAGUGGUAUUAAGGAAUGGUAUUAUUAGUGUGUGCGUGUGGUAUUGGUGACAACUAACAUAAGAACAAACAAACACUCAGUAACAUAAAUAAAGCAUGUUUUGAUAAGUAAGCAACCCGUAACCCCCCCCUUAGUAAACACCCCCGCAACACCCCCAUCCCCCCACACCCUACUACUAUUACGGCCAACCUGUAGAAGGAGUGUGGCGAGGGAGACCAGCCAUCCCCGCCCCGACCCCAGCAGGCCGCCCCGCCCC